rnacentral:lncRNA from 1 species
AUGGGUGGUGAUAUGUACAUUUCCAGCUUUUAUCUUCCCCUUGUUCAGAACAGAAGACAGUUUCUCUUCAGACUUGAUACAGUCUCUCCACAUCGGAGUCCCAGUCUUGUUUUUGCAAAACCUCUGCAACAAUGGCACAAUUUGGCCAUCUGGUGGCAGUGUUGAGCCUUUGCCUGCUGGCUGCAGUGGUGAAUUCUCAACGUGAGUGUUCAAUCAGUUUUCUCUUCAUUGUAGCUCAUACAGCCCUAUGACCUUCUAGUCUUUAUCAGAAUGAUCAGCAUUAGGAUUUUUUCAAAAUUCAGAUUUUAGUGCUUGCCAUGUCAUUUAA